rnacentral:rRNA from 1 species
GGGGGGGGGGGGGGGGGGGGGGGGGGGGGGGGGGGCGGGCGGAGGGGGGGGGGGCUUGCUCGUCUGGCGGGAGCGGCGGAGGGGUGAGUACCGCGUGGAGGACCUACCUGUAAGCCUGGGAUAACUUCGGGAAACCGGCGCUAAUACCGGAGAAGAUAUUGAACCGCAUGGUUCCAUAGUGAAAGACGGUUUUGCUGUCACUUAUCGACGUAUCCGCGCCGCAUUAGCGAGUUGGUAAGGUCACGGCUUACCAAGGCAACGAUGCGUAGCCGACCUGAGAGGGUGAUCGGCCACACUGGAACUGAGACACGGUCCAGACUCCUACGGGAGGCAGCAGUAGGGAAUCUUCCGCAAUGGGCGAAAGCUUGACGGAGCAACGCCGCGUGAGUGAUGAAGGUCUUCGGAUCGUAAAACUCUGUUAUUAGGGAAGAACAAAUGUGUAAGUAACUAUGCACGUCUUGACGGUACCUAAUCAGAAAGCCACGGCUAACUACGUG